GUUGUAUGGUUAAGUGACUAAGCGUACACGGUGGAUGCCUUGGCAGUCAGAGGCGAUGAAGGACGUAUUAACUUGCGAUAAGCCCAGAUUAGACAGUAAAAGUCAUUUGAGUCUGGGAUUUCCGAAUGGGGAAACCCACCUGCAUAAGCAGGUAUCAUUACCUGAAUACAUAGGGUAAUGAGGCGAACCGGGGGAACUGAAACAUCUAAGUACCCCGAGGAAAAGAAAUCAACCGAGAUUCCGAAAGUAGCGGCGAGCGAAAUUGGAUUAGCCCUUAAGCCUUUAAUGCGUCAGGUGAAAGUUCUGGAAAGUUCUGCGAUACAGGGUGAUAGCCCCGUAACCGACAGCGCAUUUUAGGUGAAAUCGAGUAGGGCGGGACACGUGAUAUCCUGUCUGAAUAUGGGGGGACCAUCCUCCAAGGCUAAAUACUACUGACUGACCGAUAGUGAACCAGUACCGUGAGGGAAAGGCGAAAAGAACCCCUGUGAGGGGAGUGAAAUAGAACCUGAAACCGUGUACGUACAAGCAGUAGGAGCACCUUCGUGGUGUGACUGCGUACCUUUUGUAUAAUGGGUCAGCGACUUAUAUUCAGUAGCAAGGUUAACCAUCUAGGGGAGCCGUAGAGAAAUCGAGUCUUAACUGGGCGUCGAGUUGCUGGAUAUAGACCCGAAACCAGGUGAUCUAGCCAUGGGCAGGUUGAAGGUUGAGUAACAUCAACUGGAGGACCGAACCGACUAAUGUUGAAAAAUUAGCGGAUGACUUGUGGCUAGGGGUGAAAGGCCAAUCAAACCUGGAGAUAGCUGGUUCUCCCCGAAAUCUAUUUAGGUAGAGCCUCGGACGAAUACUACUGGGGGUAGAGCACUGUUAAGGCUAGGGGGUCAUCCCGACUUACCAACCCUUUGCAAACUCCGAAUACCAGUAAGUACUAUCCGGGAGACACACGGCGGGUGCUAACGUCCGUCGUGGAGAGGGAAACAACCCAGACCGCCAGCUAAGGUCCCAAAUUACAGCUAAGUGGGAAACGAUGUGGGAAGGCUUAGACAGCUAGGAUGUUGGCUUAGAAGCAGCCAUCAUUUAAAGAAAGCGUAAUAGCUCACUAGUCGAGUCGGCCUGCGCGGAAGAUGUAACGGGGCUAAGCUGUAAACCGAAGCUGCGGCAAUGCAUUUUAUGUAUUGGGUAGGGGAGCGUUCUGUAAGCCGUUGAAGGUGAGUUGUAAAGCUUGCUGGAGGUAUCAGAAGUGCGAAUGCUGACAUGAGUAACGAUAAAGGGGGUGAAAAACCUCCUCGCCGGAAGACCAAGGGUUCCUGUCCAACGUUAAUCGGGGCAGGGUAAGUCGACCCCUAAGGCGAGGCCGAAAGGCGUAGUCGAUGGGAAACGGGUUAAUAUUCCCGUACUUCUUACAAUUGCGAUGGGGGGACGGAGAAGGCUAGGUGGGCCUGGCGACGGUUGUCCAGGUUCAAGUGCGUAGGCUUGAGAGUUAGGUAAAUCCGGCUCUCUUCAAGGCUGAGACACGACGUCGAGCUACUACGGUAGUGAAGUCAUUGAUGCCAUGCUUCCAGGAAAAGCCUCUAAGCUUCAGAUUGUAAGGAAUCGUACCCCAAACCGACACAGGUGGUCGGGUAGAGAAUACCAAGGCGCUUGAGAGAACUCGGGUGAAGGAACUAGGCAAAAUGGUACCGUAACUUCGGGAGAAGGUACGCUCCUGUCGGUGAAGUCCCUUGCGGAUGGAGCUAACGGGAGUCGCAGAUACCAGGUGGCUGCAACUGUUUAUUAAAAACACAGCACUGUGCAAAAUCGUAAGAUGACGUAUACGGUGUGACGCCUGCCCGGUGCCGGAAGGUUAAUUGAUGGGGUUAGACGUAAGUCGAAGCUCUUGAUCGAAGCCCCCGGUAAACGGCGGCCGUAACUAUAACGGUCCCUAAGGUAGCGAAAUUCCUUGUCGGGUAAGUUCCGACCUGCACGAAUGGCGUAAUGAUGGCCACGCUGUCUCCACCCGAGACUCAGUGAAAUUGAAAUCGCUGUGAAGAUGCAGUGUACCCGCGGCUAGACGGAAAGACCCCGUGAACCUUUACUACAGCUUGGCACUGAACAUUGACCCUACAUGUGUAGGAUAGGUGGGAGGCUUUGAAACCGGUACGCCAGUAUCGGCGGAGCCGUCCUUGAAAUACCACCCUUGUAGUGUUGAUGUUCUAACUUAGACCCGUUAUCCGGGUUGAGGACAGUGCCUGGUGGGUAGUUUGACUGGGGCGGUCUCCUCCCAAAGAGUAACGGAGGAGCACGAAGGUGGGCUAAUCACGGUUGGACAUCGUGAGGUUAGUGCAAUGGCAUAAGCCCGCUUGACUGCGAGAAUGACAAUUCGAGCAGGUGCGAAAGCAGGUCAUAGUGAUCCGGUGGUUCUGUAUGGAAGGGCCAUCGCUCAACGGAUAAAAGGUACUCCGGGGAUAACAGGCUGAUACCGCCCAAGAGUUCAUAUCGACGGCGGUGUUUGGCACCUCGAUGUCGGCUCAUCACAUCCUGGGGCUGAAGUCGGUCCCAAGGGUAUGGCUGUUCGCCAUUUAAAGUGGUACGCGAGCUGGGUUUAGAACGUCGUGAGACAGUUCGGUCCCUAUCUGCCGUGGGCGUUGGAAGAUUGAAGGGGGCUGCUCCUAGUACGAGAGGACCGGAGUGGACGAACCUCUGGUGUUCGGGUUGUCAUGCCAAUGGCAUUGCCCGGUAGCUAAGUUCGGAAUCGAUAACCGCUGAAAGCAUCUAAGCGGGAAGCGAGCCCUGAGAUGAGUCUUCCCUGACCCCUUGAGGGUCCUAAAGGGUUGUUCGAGACUAGAACGUUGAUAGGCAGGGUGUGUAAGCGUUGUGAGGCGUUGAGCUAACCUGUACUAAUUGCCCGUGAGGCUUAACCAUACAACACCCAAAGGGUUUUG
rnacentral:rRNA from 1 species